AAAAAGAGCUUUUAGAAAAAGAAAAUGCAUUAAUAAUUUUGGAAAAACCAGAUAAAAAUUUAUUUUUUCAAUAAUAACUUUUUAUCUUACUCGGAGAGAGAUGGCGACCAAGGAUUACAGGAGAGCGGCGAGGCGAACAUAGGAGGUAACCCGAUUAAGCGGUGCCGCUGACUAUUCGAUUGCAUGAAAAAAAUAUAUGUAGCGGCAGACAGUAACAAAAAAUAACGGAGCAGUUAAUUGAUGAAAUAUAAAAAA